rnacentral:rRNA from 1 species
GAUGAACGCUGACAGAAUGCUUAACACAUGCAAGUCAACUUGAACUUCGGUUUGGGUGGCGGACGGGUGAUUAACGCGUAAAGAACUUGCCUCACAGCUAGGGACAACAUUUGGAAACGAAUGCUAAUACCUGAUAUUAUGAUUAUAUGGCAUCGUAUAAUUAUGAAAGCUAUAUGCGCUGUGAGAGAGCUUUGCGUCCCAUUAGCUAGUUGGGGAGGUAACAGCUCACCAAGGCGAUGAUGGGUAGCCGGCCUGAGAGGGUGAUCGGCCACAAGGGGACUGAGACACGGCCCUUACUCCUACGGGAGGCAGCAGUGGGGAAUAUUGGACAAUGGACCGCGAGUCUGAUCCAGCAAUUCUGUGUGCACGAUGAAGUUUUUCGGAAUGUAAAGUGCUUUCAGUUGGGAAGAAAAAAAUGACGGUACCAACAGAAGAAGUGACGGCUAAAUACGUG